rnacentral:rRNA from 1 species
GUUUGAUCAUGGCUCAGGACGAACGCUGGCGGCGUGCUUAACACAUGCAAGUCGAACGAUGAACCACUUCGGUGGGGAUUAGUGGCGAACGGGUGAGUAACACGUGGGCAAUCUGCCCUUCACUCUGGGACAAGCCCUGGAAACGGGGUCUAAUACCGGAUACCACUACCGCAGGCAUCUGUGGUGGUUGAAAGCUCCGGCGGUGAAGGAUGAGCCCGCGGCCUAUCAGCUUGUUGGUGAGGUAAUGGCUCACCAAGGCGACGACGGGUAGCCGGCCUGAGAGGGCGACCGGCCACACUGGGACUGAGACACGGCCCAGACUCCUACGGGAGGCAGCAGUGGGGAAUAUUGCACAAUGGGCGAAAGCCUGAUGCAGCGACGCCGCGUGAGGGAUGACGGCCUUCGGGUUGUAAACCUCUUCAGCAG